rnacentral:rRNA from 1 species
GAUCCUGGCUCAGGAUGAACGCUAGCGGCAGGCCUAACACAUGCAAGUCGAGGGGCAGCACGUUAAAGAGUUUACUCUUUAUGGUGGCGACCGGCGGACGGGUGCGUAACGCGUAUGCAACCUGCCUGACACAGGGGGAUAAUCCGAAGAAAUUUGGUCUAAUACCCCAUAAUACCGAUAUAGGCACCUAUGUUGGUUGGAAGCUUUGGUGGUGUCAGAUGGGCAUGCGUUGUAUUAGCUAGUUGG